GGGGGAUAUUGCACAAUGGGGGAAACCCUGAUGCAGCGACGCCGCGUGAGGGAAGACGGUCCUCUGGAUUGUAAACCUCUGUCUUCGGGGACGAAAGAAGACGGUACCCGAGGAGGAAGCCACGGCUAACUACGUGCCAGCAGCCGCGGUAAUACGUAGGUGGCAAGCGUUGUCCGGAAUUACUGGGUGUAAAGGGAGCGUAGGCGGGCAGGCAAGUCAGGCGUGAAAUAUAUCGGCUCAACCGGUAUCUGCGCUUGAAACUGCAGGUCUUGAGUGAAGUAGAGGUUGGCGGAAUUCCUAGUGUAGCGGUGAAAUGCGUAGAUAUUAGGAGGAACACCAGUGGCGAAGGCGGCCAACUGGGCUUUUACUGACGCUGAGGCUCGAAAGUGUGGGGAGCAAAC
rnacentral:rRNA from 1 species